GAUGAACGCUGGCUACAGGCUUAACACAUGCAAGUCGAGGGGAAACGCCGGGGAAGCUUGCUUCCCCGGGCGUCGACCGGCGCACGGGUGAGUAACGCGUAUCCAACCUGCCUCUGACUGAGGGAUAACCCGUCGAAAGUCGGCCUAAUACCUCAUGGCAUCGUCUGCGGGCAUCCAACGACGAUUAAAGAUUUCAUCGGUCAGAGAUGGGGAUGCGUCUGAUUAGCUUGUUGGCGGGGUAACGGCCCACCAAGGCGACGAUCAGUAGGGGUUCUGAGAGGAAUGCACACAGCAUAGAAACUAGAGUCCGGCCGAAAGUCAGGCGGGAGGCAGCAGUUGGGAAUAGGGGUCGAGGGCGGGGAUCUGGCACCAGCAAAGUGCGUGCCAGGUGAACGGCCCUGUGAGUUGUAAACGGAUUUGAUGCGGGAAUAAAGGGGGGGACGUGGACUUAAGUGAAGCUACCGCAUGAAAAAGGCCAGGCUAAGUCCGUGCCAGCAGCCGCGGUAAUAGUCAGAAGAGCCCCCGUCUGAAC
rnacentral:rRNA from 1 species